GAUGAACGCUAGCGGCAGGCUUAACACAUGCAAGUCGAGGGGUAUAGUAGCAAUACUAGAGACCGGCGCACGGGUGCGUAACGCGUAUGCAAUCUACCUCUCACAGAGGGAUAGCCCAGAGAAAUUUGGAUUAAUACCUCAUAGUAUAGUAUCUUGGCAUCAAGGAACUAUUAAAGUCACAACGGUGAAAGAUGAGCAUGCGUCCCAUUAGUUAGUUGGUAAGGUAACGGCUUACCAAGACUACGAUGGGUAGGGGUCCUGAGAGGGAGAUCCCCCACACUGGUACUGAGACACGGACCAGACUCCUACGGGAGGCAGCAGUGAGGAAUAUUGGACAAUGGGCGCAAGCCUGAUCCAGCCAUGCCGCGUUCAGGAUGACGGUCCUAUGGAUUGUAAACUGCUUUUGUACAGGAAGAAACACCCCGACGUGUCGGGACUUGACGGUACUGUAAGAAUAAGGAUCGGCUAACUCCGUGCCAGCAGCCGCAGUAA
rnacentral:rRNA from 1 species